rnacentral:rRNA from 1 species
UAAGUGGGGGAUAACGUAGCGAAAGUUACGCUAAUACCGCAUACGACCUGAGGGUGAAAGCAGGGGGAUCGCAAGACCUUGCGUUAUACGAGCGGCCGAUGUCAGAUUAGCUAGUUGGUGAGGUAAAGGCUCACCAAGGCGACGAUCCCUAGCUGGUCUGAGAGGAUGAUCAGCCACACUGGAACUGAGACACGGUCCAGACUUCUACGGGAGGCAGCAGGUGGGGAAUAUUGCACAAUGGGGGAAACCCUGAUGCAGCCAUGCCGCGUGUGUGAAGAAGGCCUUAGGGUUGUAAAGCUCUUUUACCCGAGAUGAUAAUGACAGUAUCGGGAGAAUAAGCUCCGGCUAACUCCGUG